AGAAAUCUUUCUCGGUAUCAAUCCCCUUGCCCCUCAUUCUUUGAGAAUCAGAAGGAUCCUUUUCGAGUUUCCAUUUCUUCAUUUGGAAUCUGGGCUCUUCUAUCUUCGACUUAUUUUUUUGGCUUUAUUCUUUAUUUAUUUCAUUUCGAUUUUUCCCUCUUCCUCUAUCCCUAUCCUCUAGGUACAGCGUUUGCAUCCAUUCCAAUUUCUUCCCGAAACUUCCCAAGAAAAAUCCCGAAUUGGAUCAAAAAUUGA
rnacentral:rRNA from 1 species